AGUGAACGCUGGCGGUAGGCCUAACACAUGCAAGUCGAACGGCAGCACAGUAAGGGCUUGCUCUUACGGGUGGCGAGUGGCGGACGGGUGAGGAAUACAUCGGAAUCUACUUUUUCGUGGGGGAUAACGUAGGGAAACUUACGCUAAUACAGCAUACGACCUACGGGUGAAAGCAGGGGAUCUUCGGACCUUGCGCGAUUGAAUGAGCCGAUGUCUUAUCAGCUGGUUGGCGGGGUAACGGCCCACCACGGCGACGAUCCGUAGCUGGUCUGAGGGGAUGGUCCGCGCCUGGGGAGGUGAGCCGCGGUCCAGGCUCUGACGGGAGGCAGCGGUGGCGAAUGUUGGCAGCUGUGCGGAAUCUUGAUCCAGCCAUGCCGCGUGGGUGAAGAAGGCCUUCGGGUUGUAAAGCCCUUUUGUUGUGAAAGAACAGCAGCAGCUUAAUACAACGCUGUUCUGCCGGUACCCAAAGAAUAAGCACCGGCUAAUUUCGU
rnacentral:rRNA from 1 species